UUUUCUUCUUUACUCGCCCGACUCUUCUCCUCUUCCCCCUUUUUCUCCCGACGCCGACUCUUGCCAAAACCGCCACGCGACGGUUCCCUCUCCUCUUCCCCUUCUUCCGCGAACGUCUAAGCCCUCUCUGCCAUCUCUCUCAAGCGACGACAAGCAAGGAAAGGCCUCUUUCCCUGAAACCCUAGCUUCCACCCGAGCCCUUCACCUCUUCCCUUUCACUCAGCAAAGCGGCAGGCGGCUGAUGCUAGGUUACCGUUUCGAGCCGGCCAGAGGAGGAGCGUGCGGGAGCGACUGCACAAGCAGAGUUCUUGGCAGGGGGCUCCGGCGAGCAUUCGACGAUGCGACGCUUAGGGACACCGGGGAGCUGGUGCUGAUCCGGGCGACCUCGCCAUCGGGGGCUGUCAUCUAUUUCACCGAUUGUCAUUUCUUUCUCUCCCUCUGCCGCCUUCGAUCUCCUCUGCCGCCGCCACUGCUCGAUUACUCCCGUCAUCGGAAGGGAGUAAUCGACGAAAGGGUUAGGGCGGCCAACCUCUCUCGCUGCCGGAUUCGAACAAAGCAGCGGUGAUUUCAUCGAGAAGGUUCGCUGUUCUUUCGAUGCACUAGAGUUCAUCUCGGUGGCUUGCAAAUCCGCCUUGGCGAUUUGUUUUGGCUGCUGCCAUAGAAGCCACAAGGUUCCAGCAGCACCUCCUCGUCGAAUCCUUGGUCCUCACAGGUAGUUAGAGGUAGAGGGUGUUUCUUGGUUCAGCAGUUGAGGCAUCGGAUUUGGAUAAGAAAUGCUGGGUAGUAGAUGUAGCAUCGAUCUGAUUUCAGUUUGCUGGUUGAGAUAUUGAGGACUUUGAUGCGAGACGAGCAUCUCGACGUUAGAUUUGGACUUUUCGAUUGGAGGCGGG